rnacentral:lncRNA from 10 species
GACGUGGGUCAGCUUGUUAACGGAUACAAGAAGGCAGCAGAGGGAAUAUGCCUGGACAUGGCCUUCUUACAGAUGGAUAAAUGCGGCACUGGCUAGCGGUACAGAGAGAUGGAGCCCAGGAGAAAACUGCUGCUCUUUUGUCCUGGCUGGAAAAUCCUCCUAUGGCCUCCUUUAGUACACAUCAGCUGACUCUUCACUUGUCAUAAUAAACCGCCUGUCUGCAGCUCAAAAUGGCAAGAAAAAAGGUGGUUCUGUUCAGAGGACACUGGAUUCCAAAAGGUGGACUUCAUCAUGGGGGGAAUCAAGUCCUGCUACACAAUUAAUACAGAUUAGUAUAGUCCCCUGCCUCGCACCACUGGCGAGAUGCCCUCCAAGACCUGGCUGACAUGAGCUUCCUGGGACUCCCCAUCUCCAGUGUUGUUGGGGUCCUUUUACCUGUACCGUAUUAAUCGAAUAAUCUUAUUGUUCAUAAAAUCCAGAGCAUGUGGGUGAGAAGAAUCGAUGCAGAAGCCAUCGCUCAGAGCGAUUUUCAGUACCUCUUCCACGAAGACCUG